rnacentral:misc_RNA from 1 species
AACGCGAAUGGCACUGUUACGUAAGUAGCAGUAUGUCUGUUUGAGAAUCGCAAAACAAGAUCAACUCCAGUUGAGAGUUGGGAGUGGCCUUAUAUGCUGCCUGUAGGUGGUGUAUUUGGCUUGAAUUGAUCGAGUUGAUGAGCUUCCCAGCGCGGCUCAAUGUGUGCUAGCGAGACAGUCGUCCCGAUCUCACAUUAUCGCUGCGUUGCAGAGUUCUGACCACAGCUCGUUAAACUAUUAUUAUCAUCAAUUACGAUCUCAAAUCAGGCAAGAUUACCCGCUGAACUUAA